rnacentral:lncRNA from 1 species
AAGUCAUAUGCAAAAAUAUUUAUAUUAUAAAUAAUAUAUAGAAAGGUUUUUAAGGUAAAGUAAAACUAAAGAAACACAUAAAAAAUAAAUUAAGAUUAAGAAAGCAAGCCUGGUAUGGUGACGCACGUCAGAGAUGCUAUUCUAAAGCCUUUGCAGCCUCCUUACGUGCAGGUAGAGGCGGUCCUGAAUGUGUGCAAGUGGUGCCACUGCACAGAACCCAAAUUUUUUUUUUUUUUACUUAUAUGUUAUAUAUGUUAAUAUUUUAAAUAUUAUCGAUAUAAAGCCCGCAUAGGACAUUUACAUGAGGACGGGUUUGCAGCGAAGUGCUACACUUUAACUUCUACUUAUGGCAUGGGUUCGAGGCCCACCUAUCUCAUCAAGCUCAUAUAUGUGUGUAUAUAUAUAUAUAUAUAUAUAUAUGAUUAUAUUAUAUACAAGUCUUCAUAUAGUUAACAAGCAUUGAAAGGAAAACCUAGUCUUUAUACUGAAUAUACUGAUAUUUAAGUUUCUCAAAUUGAA